rnacentral:lncRNA from 1 species
UCAACAGCCCAUUCCUUGGUGCACUUGAGAGCUCGAAUAGCUUUCUUUGCGUCCUCUAGGUAUUGUUGUGGAUCUUCAUCCAAUGAAUCUCCAUUGAAAGUGGACGAAUUCAACUUUAAAUACUUCUCAAUUGGUGGUCUUGAUCCCCAAACAAUUGAUGAACUCUAUGAGGCUGAGGAAUUGGCAUACUAGGAAUACCUGCUCCGCCCCUAUUUUGAUUUGUUAGGGCCUGUAAUACCGCAUUAAGGGUUUGAUUCAUUCCCCUUAAUUCAGUCGCUAAGUCCGGUUGUGCCUCUCUUACUGCGGGGUUCUCUCCUUCACGCCUAUCAGCUAUCCUUUGGCUCCUUGGCCUUUGUCGAAGUGCUCCAAGUGGCGGAGAAGCUGCCCUAUUAGAUUCAGCAGUAUC